rnacentral:rRNA from 1 species
ACUCCUACGGGAGGCAGCAGUGAGGAAUAUUGGUCAAUGGAGGGAACUCUGAACCAGCCAUCCCGCGUGUAGGAAGACGGCCUUAUGGGUUGUAAACUACUUUUAUACAGGAAGAAACGUACCCUCGUGAGGGUGCCUGACGGUACUGUAGGAAUAAGCACCGGCUAACUCCGUGCCAGCAGCCGCGGUAAUACGGAGGGUGCGAGCGUUAUCCGGAUUUAUUGGGUUUAAAGGGUCCGUAGGCGGAUUAAUAAGUCAGUGGUGAAAUCCCAUCGCUUAACGAUGGAACUGCCAUUGAUACUGUUAGUCUUGAAUGAGGGUGCAAGUGGUUGGAAUGUGUAGUGUAGCGGUGAAAUGCAUAGAUAUUACACAGAACACCGAUUGCGAAGGCAG